rnacentral:lncRNA from 1 species
GCGGGGCCCAACACCAGGGGAAGCUGUACCCUGGUGGUAAGGACUAGAGGUUAGAGGAGACCCCCCGCACAACAAUAAACAGCAUAUUGACGCUGGGAGAGACCAGAGAUCCUGCUGUCUCCACAGCAUCAUUCCAGGCACAGAACGCCAGAAAAUGGAAUGGUGCUGUUGAAUCAACAGGUUCU